rnacentral:sRNA from 12 species
GCUUUCAACAUCCCCGUUCGCCAAUUCGAGAGGAUUGGGCGGACUGAAGGC